rnacentral:rRNA from 1 species
CCUACGGGUGGCAGCAGUGAGGAAUAUUGGUCAAUGGGCGCGAGCCUGAACCAGCCAAGUAGCGUGAAGGAUGACUGCCCUACGGGUCGUAAACUUCUUUUAUAAAGGAAUAAAGUGAGGCACGCGUGCCGUUUCGUAUGUACUUUAUGAAUAAGGAUCGGCUAACUCCGUGCCAGCAGCCGCGGUAAUACGGAGGAUCCGAGCGUUAUCCGGAUUUAUUGGGUUUAAAGGGAGCGUAGAUGGGUUGUUAAGUCAGUUGUGAAAGUUUGUGGCUCAACCGUAAAAUUGCAGUUGAUACUGGCAGUCUUGAGUACGGUUGAGGUAGGCGGAAUUCGUGGUGUAGCGGUGAAAUGCUUAGAUAUCACGAAGAACUCCGAUUGCGAAGGCAGCUUACUAAGCUGCCACUGACGUUGAUGCACGAAAGUGUGGGGAUCAAACAGGAUUAGAUACCCGUGUAGUC